UACGGGGGGGGCAAGCGUUGUUCGGAAUUACUGGGCGUAAAGGGCUCGUAGGUGGCCAACUAAGUCAGACGUGAAAUCCCUCGGCUUAACCGGGGAACUGCGUCCGAUACUGGAUGGCUUGAGUAUGGGAGAGGGAUGCGGAAUUCCAGGUGUAGCGGUGAAAUGCGUAGAUAUCUGGAGGAACACCGGUGGCGAAGGCGGCAUCCUGGACCAUUACUGACGCUGAGGAGCGAAAGCCAGGGGAGCAAACGGG
rnacentral:rRNA from 1 species